AAUAUAUUCGACUGAUCACUAAAGACUACAAAGCUAUAAAACCAAUCUUAAUUGUUGUGACACAAAGAGGUUAUCAAUUUGAAUGCUGCCACUGUCAUUAUAACGAUAACAUUCUUAUCUAUUAGCUUGACUAACCCGUGUAAAUUUGUCCGAGUCAAAUAGGGAUUAACUCUAAGGAAAUCUGAAAGAAGAAGUUGCGUCAGCGAGAGUGAGUCUACAGUGGGUAAGCGUCUAUAGCUCAGUCAUUGCAAGAGUGGUGAAGAUAAAGGUUGCAAUUAUGCACAUUAAGUGUAGACGUUGCGGUUUCUUCGAAGUACAUAUAACGCACCAGUGUAUCACAACAAGAAUUAAUUUGAUUUCUAUAAUUAACGAUGACUUUAGUGUUCGACUGGAUCGCUUCCAAGAUAUUUGUGGUUAAUACUGCUUCAAUAAUGAACAUUGAUACAUUUGAGAACAUUGAAGAUACAGAAGAACUUCAAAAACACAAAAACAACGGACAAGAAUCACAAAAUGCAUUGGAGCUCAUAAAGUGUAUUGUUAUAUGAUGUGUGGAACUGAUCACAGUUAGACCCUGACUAAUAGAUAGAAUCCUUUGAAGCAAAAUUCAGAAGGUAAAGCUUCUGUAUAGAAUUGCAAUUAGAGGAACGUUCGUGGGAAAUAGUGCAGAAUAAUGUGACAAAUUUUAAUUAUAGCAAACCGAAAGUUCUACCUUAGAUCCCUAUCAACAAUAUAAACAAGAAAUACCUGGAAAAUGGACAGAAGCUGAAGGAGAAAUGGGAAAGAUGUGUAGAAACACCAAAAAAAAAAAAGUAUAAAAGUUUCCACAAAAAGGGGAUUGAAGUCUAUAAUUCGUGAGAAUAUAUAAUUUUAUAUAAAUAAACAUCCACUGCGGAUAUAUUGCUUCAAAGCGCAACAACAUUUAGGGAGGGCAUGAUCCACUCCCAUAAUCGAGCGGCGAUACUAGCCAUGAGUACGCUGACUAUGCGGUUGGUUAAGGAAUGCUUAUCUUCACUAUCAGUGGCAUACUUAUACUUUUCGAUUAGAUUGAUCGGGGUUCCUGGCGCCAGCAGAAUCGCGAGAAAUUGCAUGGAAACAUGUAGGAGGACCGUUGUGCUAUUGCUGUUUACUACUGAACAGAUGGACCUCGGCUAAGCUGAACGACAGUCACUAGCACUUGCGCAGUCGCCAGAUUCUUCUGGCUCGGAGGUCUACCGAGCUCUUCGUCCUCAGUAAAGUUUACCUAUCCUUAAUUGUAGUGGCUUUUACCUGCCUUUGCCCCAGGACGAGUUGGAAUCAUCUCAUCACUUUCUUCUUGAAUGGUCUUUUCCACGCCUUUUCGAGAUCAAGAAAAAAAUUUCGCGGAUCUCACUUUUUCGAACAAAUUCGCGAAAUAGCAAAUAUAUAAGUGAAAAAUCGCAGAAUAUUUGUAGUACGUUAAGGGCGCUUUGUGGACUCCUAGUUGCUAAUUUAGGGGCGAUCCUCUCUUCACAAAGGAGUGUCUUUUAUAGUCUACGUGUGUUUUACUUUGGUAAACAGCCUUACAACUUAACUUAACCUAGUCUGAAUAUUCAAAAAAACUUUAUUCUUUUACUUUCAAGAACAUUAGAGCAGGCCGAAGUGUCUAAGAUUUCAGUCCGAUAGAGAAUCAUCAGAUGAAAAGAUAAGAUAAUGUAGGGUACACCAUAUUUUACGACAGAACGAACUUUGUUUAGGAAAUCCCAUUUCCGAUCUCCAAAUCGACAACCUAUCUCAGACGACGUAUUCUCGAUUUGUUUUCGUUAAAUUUUACAAAUUACUUAUGCAUAUUUGUUUUUGAAUAAUAGACAAUUAUUAAUUUAAAAUACAAAUACUAAAAAAAACGUUUUCAAAUGCAAUAAAUCAUUUAGUCAAUAGCAAUAAACACAUAAAAAUAUGAAUAAAAUAAUAUAACAUUACUAUACUAUAAAAUAACAAAUACAUAUAUAUAUGUUUAUAGUAGAGUUACAGUGACUGCACUUACCGUGUAAUAUCCUCAGUGCUGACGGCACGUGGCGUUCCGGGUGGCACAGCGGCCAAUACAUUCGAUGACGCAUACCUAGAUGCUGGUUCUAUAAUUUGUGUAAUUAUCAAAAACCACAGCGCGGAAAUUGUACACAACACGCACACACAAACAUUGCAUUACACGAUGGCAUUUUUUUUUUGUAUAACAGUAUAUACAUUUGUACGUAUGAUUUAUGUAUUAACAUUGUUUUAGAGAUACAUUUUGGUUGGUCAACAAAUGAGUUUGCAAAGAUACGGGAAUGAGAAGAGUAAAAGAAUUAAUGUGUUUUGGAAUUAUUUUCUUUUUUCUUUUCUUUUUUGAAUAUAAAGAAAAAUAAUAAGUAGCAUAUUGACAAAAAAAACAUACACAUGUGCAUACAUAAUAAACAUUGUAAAUUU